rnacentral:rRNA from 1 species
AUUGAACGCUGGCGGCAGGCCUAACACAUGCAAGUCGAGCGGUAGAGAGAAGCUUGCUUCUCUUGAGAGCGGCGGACGGGUGAGUAAAGCCUAGGAAUCUGCCUGGUAGUGGGGGAUAACGUUCGGAAACGGACGCUAAUACCGCAUACGUCCUACGGGAGAAAGCAGGGGAUCUUCGGGCCUUGCGCUAUCAGAUGAGCCUAGGUCGGAUUAGCUAGUUGGUGAGGUAAUGGCUCACCAAGGCGACGAUCCGUAACUGGUCGGAGAGGAUGAUCAGUAACACUGGAAAUGAGACACGGUCCAGACUCCUACGGGAGGCAGCAGUGGGGAAUAUUGGACAAUGGGCGAAAGCCUGAUCCAGCCAUGCCGCGUGUGUGAAGAAGGUCUUCGGAUUGUAAAGCACUUUAAGUUGGGAGGAAGGGCAUUAACCUAAUACGUUAGUGUUUUGACGUUACCGACAGAAUAAGCACCGGCUAACUCUGUGCCAGCCGCCGCGGUAA